rnacentral:rRNA from 1 species
GACGAACGCUGGCGGCGUGCUUAACACAUGCAAGUCGAACGGAAAGGCCCUGCUUUUGUGGGGUGCUCGAGUGGCGAACGGGUGAGUAACACGUGAGUAACCUGCCCUUGACUCUGGGAUAACUUCAGGAAACUGGGGCUAAUACCGGAUAGGAGCUCCUGCUGCAUGGUGGGGGUUGGAAAGUUUCGGCGGUUGGGGAUGGACUCGCGGCUUAUCAGCUUGUUGGUGGGGUAGUGGCUUACCAAGGCUUUGACGGGUAGCCGGCCUAAGAGGGUGACCGGCCACAUUGGGACUGAGAUACGGCCCAGACUCCUACGGGAGGCAGCAGUGGGGAAUAUUGCACAAUGGGCGGAAGCCUGAUGCAGCAACGCCGCGUGCGGGAUGACGGCCUUCGGGUUGUAAACCGCUUUCGCCUGUGACGAAGCGUGAGUGACGGUAAUGGGUAAAGAAGCACCGGCUAACUACGUG